ACAAUAUUUUAUUAUUAAUAAAAGUUAACAAUCUCAAUCAAUAUAUUUUUUUAUAAAAGGUCUUACAAUUAAAGUUAUUUACAAAUAGUUAAAAACUAAUCUUAAGUAAAUACUAUGAAAUAUUGAAUAUUUCAGGAUGGGCUUGCCUCCUAAUAAAUACUAAAAUAUUCUUAUUUUUGAAAAACUUUCUAAAAAGACCUAAAUUAUCCUAUAAUAUACUUGAAUUUCAAAAAUACUUCCAGAAAAGCUCCUAGUUUAAGCUUGUUUUUUGAACUUUAAGUUUUUUUUGCAACAUUCAACUUAGAAUUUCAAAUAUUUUUUUUUUAAAUUUUUGAAUAAUAUUUAAAUUUUGUUAAAAAAAUUUUCAAAUCCUCCUAAAUAAUAAUAAUUUUUGUAUUCACUUUUCUAAGGUUUCCGAUAAAAUCUCCCAAAAAGCUUUUAAAAUCUCCUAAAUUCUUUUAAUUUUUCAACUUAAAAAAAAAUGUGGCCACCUUUUUUUAAAAUAAUAAAUUUUAAAUAAUAAAUAUAAUAAUAAUAAAUUAACAAUUAUCACAAAAGUAAGAAAAUUACUUACUAAUAAACAAAUAUUUAUCUCAAAACAACAGCUGGAUAACUAUGCACAGACAGGCAAGUUAUAGUUUUGAUUACAUAUGAUAGUAUUUAGUUUUAUGUUAACCUUUAAAGUAAAUUAAGUAUUAAGAUAAAUAAUAUUUUUUAAUUUUGAUUCUUGCAUCUACAUUGAUUUCAUUUUUUUUUCUGCCAUCUACAUUUUUUUAACAUUUUUAAAACAGUAAUUGUAAUCAGUUUACAAUUACUGGUUUGUUUAUUCAUUCUCUUGUUAUUAUUUGGAUUGUUUUAUUUUUAUUUGUGCAUCUUUUUGAUCUUUUAUAUGUCUACAGUUUUAAUUUCAUAAUCAUGAUCUUGAGAUUUGACAGUUCUGAUAAAGCAGCAGAGGAAUGGAUGGAAAAAUUUGGAGCUGCAAACAACAUGAAAUUUAUUAUUCAACAAAAUCUACAACUCAAGAGGUGAGUUAUUUUCUGUUAGCAUAAUUUCAAGUAAUCAGUUAUAUUCAAAUGCGUUACAAAAAAUAGUCUAGGUAGUCUAAUUAUUCCUUUUUUUUAAAUAGUUCAAGCAUUUGUUUAAAUAUAUGUAGAAAUAAAUUAAAAAGGUCAUAAAACACUUUUGUGUGGCCAAGUCCACAUUAAUAUUUGAAUAAAAGUGCCCUAAAAUUUUUUAAUAAUACAUAAAACUUUUAGGUGGUUAAUGAUUUUUUUAUAGCAUUUUAAAGUCCUUAUAAUAUACUUAAUGUGAAUUUUGAUUUUCAAAUAAAUAAAUAUACAUAAUAUUUUUUAUAUUAUAUUCAGUUUCAUAAGAUAAUAACAUAUAACAUAUAACAUAAUAACAUAAUAACAAAAGCAAAUCAAAUGAAAAAAGUUAUCGUAAUACUGUCUAUUAAAAGUGGAUGUUAAAGUUUAAAAAGUGAACAGCGCAACUAAUAAAAAUGACACAUUUUCAUGCAGAGAAGAACCUCUUGCGUGUAUUGUUAAAAUUUUUAAAAUGCACAAUCACAGCAUUAAUUCUGCUGAUGCACUAUGUUUUCUUCAAAGCAACAAUGGAUUACAGGAAACUUUUAACAAAUAUUUCUCAAUUGAUACGGCACCAGGUAAAUCAUGAAAUUCAUUGAAAAAAAAAUUUCAAUUACAUAUGGUAUAACUAGUAAGUGAAUGGCAGCAGAUGCUAGAGAAAAUCCUACACUAAAUCAAGUUUAUUAUUGGCAUCACAAGUAUACUGCAGAACAUUUUGGCACAGUCACAGAUCCUAUUGGUAAACUGAUAUCUUUUAUUGAUACACAAUUUUACUAAAAACAAGGGACAUGAAGUUCAUAUCAAAAUUGAAGGUGACUUUAGGGCAGUUGUUAUAGCAACACCAAUAAUGCGUCGUGCUCAGAAAAUGGAAACUUCUAGAAAAAUAGUUUUUAUUGAUUCUACAAGUAGCGUUGAUUCUACAUGCUCCACAACAACAGUUAUCCUUAAACCAACAUCACCUGGUGCAGAUCCAUUAAGUGUUUUGAUACAUAAUUGCAGGCCUCUGCGGAAUUAAAUGAGUGCGGGAGCGGAGAAAAGCUCUCAUAAAAUAAACAUAGCGAGCCAUGCGAGCUGCUCCUCUAGACAGCUUUUUACAAGAGUUUUCGGUUAUUGGGCGAGCUCUGCUUAUUUAUUAAAUAAAUUGCUUAUUAAAUACAAAAUUUAGUUUUACUCUUGUUACAAGCAUUUGCUUGUAACGUUAAUGUUAACAGAAUAUAAGCAAAACAAGCGUAACUCAAUUUAGGGGAGUAUGGGCGAGAGCGAAAGCUAAAGCUCUCGCUUUCCGCCGAGGCUUGUAAUGGAUUAUGUACAGUUUCCUAUAUUCUUUCAUUUAGUCUACUUUAACAAAACAUGCUGGAUUAUUUGGAGUACAAUCGGUAGAACAUUAAACAGUAUUAUAUAAGCAUUAAUUGUUUUACAAUUAUCAAUAUUUUAAAGUCUAGAGGGUUAUAUAAAAUUACAAUGAAAUGUUAUAGCUUAUUACUUUCUUUUAUUAGUAAA